AUUGAACGCUGGCGGCAGGCCUAACACAUGCAAGUCGAGCGAGCGGCGGACGGGUGAGUAAUGUAAGGGGAACUGCCCGAUAGAGGGGGAUAACUACUGGAAACGGUGGCUAAGACAGCAUACUAUCGGAUGAACCCAUAUGGGAUUAGCAAGGAGGUGGGGUAAAGGCUCACCUAGGCGACGAUCUCUAGCUGGUCUGAGAGGAUGAACAGCCCCACGGGGACUGAGACCCGUCCCAGCCUCCUACGGGAGGCAGCAGUGGGGAAUAUUGCACAAUCGGCGCCAGCCUGUUGCAGCCAUGCCGCGUGUAUGAAGAAGGCCUUAUGUUUGUAAAUUACUUUCAGCUGGUCGGCGUUACCCGCAGAAGAAGCACCGGCUAACUCCGUGCCAGCAGCCGCGGUAAUAC
rnacentral:rRNA from 1 species